UACGUAGGGCGCGAGCGUUGUCCGGAAUUAUUGGGCGUAAAGAGCUCGUAGGUGGCUUGUUGCGUCUGCCGUGAAAGCCCGUGGCUUAACUACGGGUCUGCGGUGGAUACGGGCAGGCUAGAGGCUGGUAGGGGCAAGCGGAAUUCCUGGUGUAGCGGUGGAAUGCGCAGAUAUCAGGAGGAACACCGGUGGCGAAGGCGGGUCUCUGGGCCGAUACUGACGCUGAGGAGCGAAAGCAUGGGGAGCGAACAGG
rnacentral:rRNA from 1 species